rnacentral:rRNA from 1 species
UACGUAGGUGGCAAGCGUUGUCCGGAUUUAUUGGGUUUAAAGGGUGCGUAGGCGGUCCUAUAAGUCAGUUGUGAAAUACGGCAGCUUAACUGUCGAGGUGCAAUUGAUACUGCAGGACUUGAGUACAGACGAGGUAGGCGGAAUUGACGGUGUAGCGGUGAAAUGCUUAGAUAUCGUCAAGAACACCGAUAGCGAAGGCAGCUUACUAGACUGUAACUGACGCUAAGGCACGAAAGUGUGGGGAUCAAACAGG